UACGAAGGGUGCAAACGUUGCUCGGAAUUAUUGGGCGUAAAGCGCACGUAGGCGGCUUUGCAAGUCGGAUGUGAAAUCCCUCGGCUUAACCAAGGAAGUGCAUCCGAAACUGCAGAGCUUGAGUACUUAAGAGGAUCGCGGGAUUCCCGGUGUAGAGGUGAAAUUCGUAGAUAUCGGGAGGAACACCAGUGGCGAAGGCGGCGAUCUGGGAAGAUACUGACGCUGAGGUGCGAAAGCGUGGGGAGCAAACAGG
rnacentral:rRNA from 1 species